AUCCUGUCUGAAUAUGGGGGGACCAUCCUCCAAGGCUAAAUACUCCUGACUGACCGAUAGUGAACCAGUACCGUGAGGGAAAGGCGAAAAGAACCCCGGCGAGGGGAGUGAAAAAGAACCUGAAACCGUGUACGUACAAGCAGUGGGAGCACGCUUAGGCGUGUGACUGCGUACCUUUUGUAUAAUGGGUCAGCGACUUAUAUUCUGUAGCAAGGUUAACCGAAUAGGGGAGCCGAAGGGAAACCGAGUCUUAACUGGGCGUUAAGUUGCAGGGUAUAGACCCGAAACCCGGUGAUCUAGCCAUGGGCAGGUUGAAGGUUGGGUAACACUAACUGGAGGACCGAACCGACUAAUGUUGAAAAAUUAGCGGAUGACUUGUGGCUGGGGGUGAAAGGCCAAUCAAACCGGGAGAUAGCUGGUUCUCCCCGAAAGCUAUUUAGGUAGCGCCUCGUGAAUUCAUCUCCGGGGGUAGAGCACUGUUUCGGCA
rnacentral:rRNA from 1 species